UCGAGAAUAUUCGACAAUGGGCGAAAGCCUGAUCGAGCGACGCCGCGUGCAGGAUGAAGGACUUCGGUUCGUAAACUGCUUUUCCACGGGAAAAAACAAAUGAUUGUACUGUGGGAAUAAGGGGUGGCUAACUUCGUGCCAGCAGCAGCGGUAAUACGAAGGCCCCGAGCGUUAUCCGGAUUCAUUGGGCGUAAAGGGUGCGUAGGUGGUUUUGUACGUUUCCUGUUAAAUCUCACCGCCCAACGGUGAGACCGCAGGGAAUACGGCAAGACUAGAGGGUGCGAGAGGUCUGUGGAACUCACGGUGUAGGGGUGAAAUCCGUUGAUAUCGUGGGGAACACCAAAGGCGAAGGCAGCAGACUGGCGCAUUUCUGACACUGAGGCACGAAAGCGUGGGGAGCAAAAAGG
rnacentral:rRNA from 1 species